rnacentral:rRNA from 1 species
AACGAACGCUGGCGGCAGGCUUAACACAUGCAAGUCGAACGCCCCGCAAGGGGAGUGGCAGACGGGUGAGUAACGCGUGGGAAUCUACCCAGACCUUCGGAACAACUGAGGGAAACUUCAGCUAAUACCGGGUACGCCCUACGGGGGAAAGAUUUAUCGGUUCUGGAUGAGCCCGCGUUGGAUUAGCUAGUUGGGGGGGUAAUGGCCUACCAGGGCGACGAUCCAUAGCUGGUCUGAGAGGAUGAUCAGCCACACUGGGACUGAGACACGGCCCAGACUCCUACGGGAGGCAGCAGUGGGGAAUAUUGGACAAUGGGCGAAAGCCUGAUCCAGCCAUGCCGCGUGAGUGAUGAAGGCCUUAGGGUUGUAAAGCUCUUUCAGUAGGGAAGAUAAUGACGGUACCUACAGAAGAAGCCCCGGCUAACUUCGUGCCAGCCGCCGCCGUAA